UACGAAGGGGGCGAGCGUUGUUCGGAAUUACUGGGCGUAAAGGGCGCGCAGGCGGCCUUAGAAGUCAGAUGUGAAAGCCCCGGGCUCAACCUGGGAAUGGCAUUCGAUACUCUGAGGCUGGAGUACGGGAGAGGAGAGUGGAAUUCCCAGUGUAGAGGUGAAAUUCGUAGAUAUUGGGAAGAACACCGGUGGCGAAGGCGGCCUGCUGGGCAGUAGCUGACGCUGAGGCGCGACAGCGUGGGGGAGCAAACAGG
rnacentral:rRNA from 1 species